GAUAGGCCGCUGUCGCUACGGUGAUUGGACUCUGACGCAGAGUCAACUAGCCUUGUUCGCGCGGUUCUUCUGGGGGGAUGAACCGGGGCGGUCCGAGCCAUGAGGGGGGAGGCUCGGGCCGCCCGUC
rnacentral:ncRNA from 1 species